AGCGAACGCUGGCGGCAGGCCUAACACAUGCAAGUCGAACGAACCUUUCGGGGUUAGUGGCGGACGGGUGAGUAACACGUGGGAACGUGCCUUUAGGUUCGGAAUAACUCAGGGAAACUUGUGCUAAUACCGAAUGUGCCCUUCGGGGGAAAGAUUAAUCGCCUUUAGAGCGGCCCGCGUCUGAUUAGCUAGUUGGUUGAGGUAAUGGCUCACCAAGGCGACGUUCAGUAGCUGGUCUGAGAGGAUGAUCAGCCACAUUGGGACUGAGACACGGCCCAAACUCACACGGGAGGAGGAAGUGGGGACUGUUGCGAAAGGGGCGAAAGCAGGACGCACCCAGGCCGGGUAAAUGAGGAGGGUUUUGGAAUAGAAAAAUUUUUUCACGGGGGCAGAUAAUGAGGGUACCGGAGAAGAAAGCCCCGGCUAGCUCCGUG
rnacentral:rRNA from 1 species